UUAUUGUUUAUAGUUGAGACUUGUGUUAUGUUUAUACCAUUACGAAAGAUGAACAAAUCUUCGCCAGAGAAAUGGAUGAAGAAAUAAUGAAUGGCGGAAGGUGUUGUGUAUGGCGGACACAAGUGAACAGUAAUACUACACCGUCACUAACAAAUUGGAGAUGUUACAACAAAACUUUGAAAAAUUAAACUGUACCAUAACAGCUGAAAAUGACCAAGUGGAGCCUGGAACAAGAGGUGCCACCACCAACACUGCACCAUCACCACCUAUGCCAAGGUGACAUGAUGCAACAUCUUCCCGAGGCAGUGGACCAGAAGGUAUGACACUGUAGACACUGGGAAGAAUACUUUCCUACCAUCACCAAGUGGCAUCAUCAACAUAACCAGCCAACUGAAGUUAACCAGAGAUGGACACAAACUUCACCUGCUGCUGUAUUGUUCUUUCUCCAUCACUGCCUUAAGUGGACCUGAAUUGAGCUGGACCUGAUGUGAACUAGACUAAAGUGAGCUGGACCUCAGGUGAACUGGAACUAAAGUUAACUAAACCUGAUGUUACUGCACCUGCAAGUAAAGUAGACCUAAAGGACUAUCUGGUAUUUAUUUAAUAUUGUUCUGGUUGUAAUAUUAGGAAGGUUCUACCGGCAUUCCCUAGUUUUUAAGAGUUCUGUUCCUGAAAAACCACCCCACCAUCCCCUCCCCCCAGCUAGAAGGUGAUAGGAUAUUUAUGGUAAAGGUGUUUUUUGGCUUAUAACUUGCAUUGCUGGAAUCCUUGCAAGAUAGCAAUUAAAUUGAGUAUAAACAUCUCACAGUUUGCACUAGAGAUAAUUUUUUUUAGUCCUUUAGCCAAGUACAUUUGAGUACAGAGUGAGUACAGUUAUAUGUUGCUGAAAAUUAUGGCUUUUUCACAGGGAAACGUCUGUAUAACUAUCCCCAGUAGUUAGGAUAUUAUGUACUGUAUUUUGGGUGUUUUUUAUAUAAUUAUUUAUCGUUUUUAUACGUUUAGUACAUUUGCUGGAAGAUUCGGACAGCUGGUCCCUCCUUUUAGUCUUGAUCUUUGAGGGUUCACUGUAAUUGUCCACAGGGGGUUAAUAUUUGAAGUUGCCAACACCUAUUUAUGACUGUAUAUUGAGUCUUAUAUAGGGAGAGAGAAAAAAACAUUAUACAGUAAAGCAUUUUCUUUGGAAAUUUAUAUUUGUUGAGUAUUUUAACCUAUAAAAUUACCCACAAUAUUAACUGCUCAAAGUGGGCAGGGUGUUGAGGUAAAAUGUGAGUUAAAAUGAUAAAGAGAACACCAAACAAACAUGGAUUAAGGGCAGGAAAACACAGGCUGCUUGCUUCUUCUAUUGUCAUCCAGGUCCAAGUGACUCACACUCAUUACACAAUUUCCCAAUACAAUUAGGUUAUUUAACAGAUAGGUAAGUGAACAGGGCACCAUCUGAUUACUCUAGAAGUGAAAUGCAACGCCAUCUAGAAAGCAGAGGUCACUUCACUACAGUACAAUUGCGAUACUAGUAAACUGUUCCAUUGGCCUACUUGCCUCUGUGUGAAGAAAUAUUUCCGUAUGUUCAAUCUGCACGAUCACUUGGCAAGCUUAAAGUCAUGUCCUGUCGUGUUGGUGGUGCACCAUUUAUAGGGAUGUUAGGUAGGAGGCAGGGUUCCGUUUCUGUGUACCGUAAGCCUCGAAUAACGACGGUAAUGUGUCCUCCAAUAUUGCAGUGUAAGGUGAAUCGUUGUAUCGUGAAUCAUUAAUUACCAUUAAAAUAAAGCAAUAAUAAUGAGAUGCUUUCCCCGGUCUGACCUUUACAUAACUUUUGUGUGGCUUUUUACCCUCUUCCCCAAAAACAAUACAAUUAAUGAAAGUCACUAUAUUCUUUAAAUAAUGUUUAUGAAUGGUCCUUAUACAAUAUAAAUCAAUAUAAUAAGAUCACACAAGAGGAGAUGGGACGCUAUUGUUGUUGUCGUGUUUACACCUACAAUGUCAGUUAUCCGCCGGAAACAAAAAAUAAGACCCUGGUUGUUGUUAUAAUAAAAUUAAUGUAAAAAAAAAA
rnacentral:lncRNA from 1 species